CUGAGUUUACGCUCUAUAACCCUUUGUGAACAUACCUAUAACUGUUGCUUCGGCGGGUAGGGUCUCCGUGACCCUCCCGGCCUCCCGCCCCCGGGCGGGUCGGCGCCCGCCGGAGGAUAACCAAACUCUGAUUUAACGACGUUUCUUCUGAGUGGUACAAGCAAAUAAUCAAAACUUUUAACAACGGAUCUCUUGGUUCUGGCAUCGAUGAAGAACGCAGCGAAAUGCGAUAAGUAAUGUGAAUUGCAGAAUUCAGUGAAUCAUCGAAUCUUUGAACGCACAUUGCGCCCGCCAGCAUUCUGGCGGGCAUGCCUGUUCGAGCGUCAUUUCAACCCUCAAGCUCUGCUUGGUGUUGGGGCCCUACAGCUGAUGUAGGCCCUCAAAGGUAGUGGCGGACCCUCCCGGAGCCUCCUUUGCGUAGUAACUUUACGUCUCGCACUGGGAUCCGGAGGGACUCUUGCCGUAAAACCCCCAAUCUUCCAAAGGUUGACCUCGGAUCAAGGUAGGAAUACCCGCUGAACUUAAGCAU
rnacentral:rRNA from 1 species